rnacentral:sRNA from 1 species
GACUGCGAAUGCGAGCUGCACAAGAAAAUUCGUUGCGAAAAGUGAAAAACGUUGGGGUUUCGAAAGAAGCUGAGUAAUAAGAAAUGUUCUAAAAUGUACAAAUAAAUAAUCGAAAAAACCAAAGAAAAUAUAAUAACGAGAAGAAGAAGUGAAACGUGAACAGUCGCAGUAUCGUGGAGCAGUCACGAGCAGCGGCGCUGCCGAUAACGCUGCAUACUUAGUGGCAUCAGACGUGCCGGCACCUGCCGCAACAGCAGACCCAUUAGACAGCAUGAGCGCCAGUGGCAACGGCAACAGCACCAGCAGCGCC